rnacentral:lncRNA from 1 species
AAACUCCUGACCUUGUGAUCUGCCCACCUGGGCUUCCCAAAGUGCUGAGAACACAGGUGUGAGCCACUGCACCCGGCCUUUUCUCCCAUUUUCUAAGGUGACCAUAAAAAAUUUUCUUUUCUUUUUUCUUUUGAGACAGGGUCUUGCUGUGUUGCCCAGGCUGGAGUUCAGUGGCGCAAUCUGGGCUCACUGCACACUCCACCUUUGGGGCUCAAGCGAUCCUCCCACCUUACCUCUCAAGUAGCUGGGACUACAGGUAUGCAACACCACGCCCAGCUAUUUUUUCGUAUUUUUAGUAGAGGCGGGGUUUCACCAUGUU